rnacentral:rRNA from 1 species
GCAGCCGCGGUAAUUCCAGCUCCAAUAGCGUAUAUUAAAGUUGUUGCAGUUAAAAAGCUCGUAGUUGAAUUUCAGGAUCAAUACGUCGGUCGUGCCUUUGGUACGUACUAAUGUCAUUGAUUUCUCCCUUCUGAUGAAUCAUGAUGUCAUUAAUUUGAUGUUGUGGGGAGUCAGGACUGUUACUUUGAAAAAAUUAGAGUGUUUAAAGCAGGCACGCGCUUGAAUACAUUAGCAUGGAAUAAUGAAAUAGGACGUUAGAUUCUAUUUUUGUUGGUUUCUAGAAUCAACGUAAUGAUUAAUAGGGAUAGUUGGG